rnacentral:rRNA from 1 species
GAUGAACGCUGGCGGCGUGCCUAAUACAUGCAAGUCGAGCGAACGGACGAGAAGCUUGCUUCUCUGAUGUUAGCGGCGGACGGGUGAGUAACACGUGGAUAACCUACCUAUAAGACUGGGAUAACUUCGGGAAACCGGAGCUAAUACCGGAUAAUAUUUUGAACCGCAUGGUUCAAAAGUGAAAGACGGUCUUGCUGUCACUUAUAGAUGGAUCCGCGCUGCAUUAGCUAGUUGGUAAGGUAACGGCUUACCAAGGCAACGAUGCAUAGCCGACCUGAGAGGGUGAUCGGCCACACUGGAACUGAGACACGGUCCAGACUCCUACGGGAGGCAGCAGUAGGGAAUCUUCCGAAAUGGGCGAAAGCCUGACGGAGCAACGCCGCGUGAGUGAUGAAGGUCUUCGGAUCGUAAAACGCUGUUAUUAGGGAAGAACAUAUGUGUAAGUAACUGUGCACAUCUUGACGGUACCUAAUCAGAAAGCCACGGCUAACUACGUG